rnacentral:rRNA from 1 species
UACCAGCACCCCGAGUUGUCGGGACGAUUAUUGGGCCUAAAGCAUCCGUAGCCUGUUCUACAAGUCCUCCGUUAAAUCCACCUGCUCAACAGAUGGGCUGCGGGGGAUACUAUAGGGCUAGGAGGCGGGAGAGGCAAACGGUACUCAGUGGGUAGGGGUAAAAUCCAUUGAUCUACUGAAGACCACCAGUGGCGAAGGCGGUUU